UACGUAGGAUGCAAGCGUUGUUCGGAAUUACUGGGCGUAAAGGGCUCGUAGGCGGCCAACUAAGUCUGACGUGAAAUCCCUCGGCUUAACCGGGGAACUGCGUCCGAUACUGGAUGGCUUGAGUGUGGGAGAGGGAUGCGGAAUUCCAGGUGUAGCGGUGAAAUGCGUAGAUAUCUGGAGGAACACCGGUGGCGAAGGCGGCAUCCUGGACCACGACUGACGCUGAGGAGCGAAAGCGUGGGGAGCGAACAGG
rnacentral:rRNA from 1 species